rnacentral:lncRNA from 1 species
AAGAGCUGACGUGUGCAGAAGUCCUUCUUGUUCUGGUCCUUGUUCCCGUCUGAGUACCAGCUCCCCAUUGCCCUGAGGGCCAGCGGGCCUGCGGCAGAGGGAAGGAGGAGAAGAAGGAAAUUGUCCCGGAUUCUUGCAGUCUUUCCGUAGGUUGUGGCACUACGCCAGGCAAGAGAAGAGGAAGGAAAUUAACCCCAAUCGGUGAAGGUCGAUUUGAGGGUCUGCUGUAGCAGGUGGCACCACUUGAAGAGAGGGAGGAAGUUUCCUCGGAUCAGUAGAGAUUAGGAGGGUUGUUGGGCGUGGCACACCUCUAGGGGAGGGAAGAAGGGACAAACUGCCUGUCUGGAGGAGGUACACCUCCAGUAUCAGCUACUGUGGCCUUGACGUGGCUGAAGACGAUCACCUUCCACAGGCCUGCACGCAGGCCCAUAGCCCUCCUCUCCCAGCCUGACUGAAUACUCUCUUCCUUGGUCCCUG